GUCAGUAACCCAGCCCUAAAGGGACUGGGCUUGCAAGAAUAAUCAAGCAAGCCGUACUGACCAGACCACCCUGAGUCUACUCUCAUGGUAGCCGUUAUUUGAGUCACGACACCCACCGAAUGCGUUGCCAGUUCCCUGCUCUGUCGCUUGUGAUUAAACAGUUCUAAGGUCACUGGAACAGUGUUGCAAGCUCAAGCAAGCUCUUAUAACAGGUCGAGGCUAACAUUAC
rfam:Anabaena sp. 90 chromosome chANA01, complete sequence.